UGGGGAAUUUUGGACAAUGGGCGCAAGCCUGAUCCAGCCAUGCCGCGUGCAGGAUGAAGGCCUUCGGGUUGUAAAGCUCUUUCAGGUGGAAAGAAAACGCAUAGGUUAAUACCUUGUGCGGACGACGGUACCAUCAGAAGAAGCACCGGCUAACUACGUGCCAGCAGCCGCGGUAAUACGUAGGGUGCAAGCGUUAAUCGGAAUUACUGGGCGUAAAGCGUGCGCAGGCGGUUAUGCAAGACAGAGGUGAAAUCCCCGGGCUCAACCUGGGAACUGCCUUUGUGACUGCAUAGCUAGAGUACGGUAGAGGGGGAUGGAAUUCCGCGUGUAGCAGUGAAAUGCGUAGAUAUGCGGAGGAACACCGAUGGCGAAGGCAGCCUCCUGGGCCAGUACUGACGCUCAUGCACGAAAGCGUGGGGAGCAAACA
rnacentral:rRNA from 1 species